UAAAACGUGAUGAUCAGGAAAGUAGCGAACGAACCGUUUCAAGCGAGCCAUUGGGUGGUGCAAAAUGGCAGCGCGCAGUUUGUGAAAGUAACCUGGGAACUGCUAAUGCGAGGUAACGAGUGUUGGCUGGUUUGGUACCCAUUAUUGUACCAACGUAUCGCAGAGUGGUCGGAGCACCAGGUAGUUUUUGAGCAUUGCCUAGGACCGGCGCCAAUGCUGUACGUAUUAAGCUGAUGUGGCGCAAGUCCAUCACAAGCCAAAGGUGGUACCACGCGUAAGCGUCCUUGGA
rnacentral:ncRNA from 1 species